rnacentral:rRNA from 1 species
AAGGGCUUUCGGGUUCCUGAUGAUGACCCCGGUGCCUUAGCUAGUUGGGAGGUAACGCUCACCAAGCCACGAUGCAUAGCCGACCUGAGAGGUGAUCGCCACACUGGACUGAGACCCGGCCCAGACUCCUACGGGAGGCAGCAGUAGGAAUCUUCGGCAAUGACGAAAGUCUGACCGAGCAACGCCGCGUGAGUGAAGAAGGUUUUCGGAUCGUAAAACUCUGUUGUUAGAGAAGAACAAGGACGUUAGUAACUGAACGUCCCCUGACGGUAUCUAACCAGAAAGCCACGGCUAACUACGUGCCAGCAGCCGCGGUAAUACGUAGGUGGCAAGCGUUGUCCGGAUUUAUUGGGCGUAAAGCGAGCGCAGGCGGUUUCUUAAGUCUGAUGUGAAAGCCCCCGGCUCAACCGGGGAGGGUCAUUGGAAACUGGGAGACUUGAGUGCAGAAGAGGAGAGUGGAAUUCCAUGUGUAGCGGUGAAAUGCGUAGAUAUAUGGAGGAACACCAGUGGCGAAGGCGGCUCUCUGGUCUGUAACUGACGCUGAGGCUCGAAAGCGUGGGGAGCAAACAGGAUUAGAUACCCUGGUAGUCCACGCCGUAAACGAUGAGUGCUAAGUGUUGGAGGGUUUCCGCCCUUCAGUGCUGCAGCAAACGCAUUAAGCACUCCGCCUGGGGAGUACGACCGCAAGGUUGAAACUCAAAGGAAUUGACGGGGGCCCGCACAAGCGGUGGAGCAUGUGGUUUAAUUCGAAGCAACGCGAAGAACCUUACCAGGUCUUGACAUCCUUUGACCACUCUAGAGAUAGAGCUUUCCCUUCGGGGACAAAGUGACAGGUGGUGCAUGGUUGUCGUCAGCUCGUGUCGUGAGAUGUUGGGUUAAGUCCCGCAACGAGCGCAACCCUUAUUGUUAGUUGCCAUCAUUUAGUUGGGCACUCUAGCGAGACUGCCGGUGACAAACCGGAGGAAGGUGGGGAUGACGUCAAAUCAUCAUGCCCCUUAUGACCUGGGCUACACACGUGCUACAAUGGGAAGUACAACGAGUCGCUAGACCGCGAGGUCAUGCAAAUCUCUUAAAGCUUCUCUCAGUUCGGAUUGCAGGCUGCAACUCGCCUGCAUGAAGCCGGAAUCGCUAGUAAUCGCGGAUCAGCACGCCGCGGUGAAUACGUUCCCGGGCCUUGUACACACCGCCCGUCACACCACGAGAGUUUGUAACACCCGGAAAGUCGGUGGAAGGUAAACCUUUUUGGAGCCAGCCGCCUAAGG